GGGAAAGCGCCCGUGGGUACUGUUCACCGGGUUCUGAAGCACAGUACAGGAUCUUGCUCCCCGUGAGGUGUCAGUGAGAACGACAGAACGAGAGAAUGACAGUCAGAGGGAGCGUUCACCCUCUGUGCACCGCAGCAGGAGCUCAGGGCCUCGGGGCCGCCAUUCCCUCCGCCACACACAACAUGGCGGCCACCUGGCCCCACUUCCCUACUUCCGUUUCCGGGGCUGAACCUCUCCGGUUGCCCAGGAGCCUCUUGGAAGCUAACAGUGUAAGGAGCGUCUGCUACUUUCCCUUCUCUUCUUGCCUCCACUCCGCUCAGCUUGACCGGGCGACCCGCGGCUUGUCGGGUGCAGCGGAAGCUCCCAAGUAGCUGAGAAGUUCAUGGAAUCUCCUUAUUGGUACAACUUUCACUAUUGUUUGUGUGGGGUACAGGUGAGCAGACAUUUCUCAAGCACACUGUUCACAUACACAGCACAUGGAGACUUGAUUUCAAAAAGGCAAAAGAAAUAGGUUUGAGUAAUUGGUACCCGGACACAAGAAGGCUGGGAGAGAUCAGGAGACCAAAUGCCACACAGAGUGGACCUUAAGACAUGAGACCAGCAAGGACACAGAAUGGAGAAGGACAAGAGAAACAUCAUCAGGGGUGGGGAGGACAGGGGAGCGAUGAAGGGACAUGGAAAUGAUAGAGGGUAGCUCUUCAGAUGUAUCCUAGAAAUCCUAAAACUUGCACAAGCAUGCACCUGCAUGCACUUACUCACACCCGGCCUAGAUUGAAGAAGAGCAGCUCUCAAUGUUUGCUCUGUGCCUGUAUCUUCCAGAACACCUCCCUGCUAGAGGUGUGUAGCCUUCACUGUCCAAGGAGUCUGAAUCAGAGGUCUAGGUCAGGCCCACGUGUCUGCUGCCAUGUAAUACUUGUAAGCUGGGCUCAUUCUUGGUCAGGACAAUAGGCUGCUGUGAAUACUAGCAGCUUGGAGAAGGCAGCAUGGCAUCCUGCAGUGCUUCUGUUAAACCACCCUGUCGGGUCAGCCUGAGCAACUUCCCUCCAUGGACCUCAGUUUCCCUCAACUAUAAAGUGAAGGCCUUAGCUGGACCCCCGAGUAACUGUAACACUCAGACUUCUCUGAAAUCGGGUAUGUGGGGUUCCCUCCUCCCUGAGGAGCUGGGGGGGUGGGCUACUUUUUAGAAAACCUUGAAUCUGAGGCUACAUCCCAAUUUGGUGAUUCCACCUAAAUGAUAUGUUUUCUCUAAAAAGCACUUUACCACAUUCUCUCAUCUAAUAUUUAUACUGAGAAUUGAUGAAAACAUCAGGAGCAAAUUAUGCGGAAGUGGCUCAGAUGUAUUCCCUGACUCAGGUGGACUUGAGGGGCUAGGGGUGGAAGAGAGAAAGUGACUAUCACUGGUGCUCAGGUUUAAAACAAUGAAGAAAAAAUGGAGCUUAGACCUUAAUCCUUUCAUAAAACAUUCUCACCCCAAGUUGGUCACUAAAUUCCUGGGAUUAGCCUCCUCUCUCCCAC